GUUAACAACGUAAUGUUGUCAUACCCGUGGUAUAUGGUCUGAUAUACCGCGGCUAUCAGCCAAUCAGCAUCCAGGGCUCGAACCACCCAGUUUAUAUAUAUAUAUAUAUAUAUAUAUAUAUAUAAUGAGGGUAAUUCAUAUUGAAGGGAAGAGGUUGUGUGUUUGUCUGUUAUGGGGGUCAGUGGUAAUAACUAGAGAGGGUUGAUAUGAUUCUGUUAUGGGGGUCAGUGGUAAUAACUAGAGAGGGUUGAUAUGAUUCUGUUAUGGGGGUCAGUGGUAAUAAAUGUAAUCACCCUGUUCCUGGAGAGAUACCCUCCUGUAGGUUUUCAUUCCAACCCCAGUUGCAACUAACCCGAUUCAUUUUAUCAGCCAGCUAAUUUGUAGAAUCAGGUC